GUCAACUGUCCCAUGUGCUUCUGUGUAUGUUUACCUGUCCUGUGACCUGUGACCUAUGUAAAGUACCUGUUGGUCAUGUGACUGCCACCUCAACUGUAUCCCUCACCUGCAUGCUUUCUACCUCUGUGUGCAAGAAACUGGCAGCCAUGCUGGGUGUAACAUUUUGAUACCAGGAUUUAGAAGAGAACCAGGUGUGAAAUGGAAUUCUAGUAGACCUGUGUAGUGACCUGUGUAGUGCACAAGCACGGAGCUAGCCCCUGUCGGAAUGAUAGAGGUGUUUUCUACGUUACGUCUUGUUUGUGCUACGGUUGCUGUUGUUUUAAAUAAAUGGUGGAAACAAAGUCCGUCGUAGUCUGUGAUGAUUCCCCAGAUGGGAGAUAAACC